rnacentral:rRNA from 1 species
UACGAAGGGUGCAAGCGUUGUUCGGAAUUACUGGGCGUAAAGGGCGCGUAGGCGGCCUGUUAAGUCGAACGUGAAAUCCCCGGGCUCAACCCGGGAACUGCGUCCGAUACUGGCAGGCUUGAAUCCGGGAGAGGGAUGCGGAAUUCCAGGUGUAGCGGUGAAAUGCGUAGAUAUCUGGAGGAACACCGGUGGCGAAGGCGGCAUCCUGGACCGAGAUUGACGCUGAGGCGCGAAAGCCAGGGGAGCAAACGGGG